AGUGAACGCUGGCGGUAGGCCUAACACAUGCAAGUCGAACGGCAGCACAGGAGAGCUUGCUCUCUGGGUGGCGAGUGGCGGACGGGUGAGGAAUACAUCGGAAUCUACUUUUUCGUGGGGGAUAACGUAGGGAAACUUACGCUAAUACCGCAUACGACCUACGGGUGAAAGCAGGGGAUCUUCGGACCUUGCGCGAUUGAAUGAGCCGAUGUCGGAUUAGCUAGUUGGCGGGGUAAAGGCCCGCCAAGGCGACGAUCCGUAGCUGGUCUGAGAGGAUGAUCAGCCACACUGGAACUGAGACACGGUCCAGACGCCUACGGGAGGCAGCAGUGGGGAAUAUUGGACAAUGGGCGCAAGCCUGAUCCAGCCAUACCGCGUGGGGGAAGAAGGCCUUCGGGUUGUAAAGCCCUUUUGUUGGGAAAGAAAUCCAGCUGGUUAAUACCCGGUUGGGAUGACGGUACCCAAAGAAUAAGCACCGGCUAACUUCGUGCCAGCCGCCGCUGUAA
rnacentral:rRNA from 1 species